AGGUAGUUUCUAAAGAGUGCGCCUGGAGUUACUUCUUAUGUCCUCUUGUUCCAGACGACUGAGACGGGUUUGCUGGUGAUAAGACCGGAGGAACCUAUCUCAACUGGCCGGCUGGACUCCGACACACUGAAAGAAAAGGAGAUGACUGGUGGACAGCUUAGAAUAGCAAUGAGGUAUGGUAUUUAUCUAUAAUACCUCUUCCAUGAUGAAUAACUAAUUUAUACAAAAUCCCAUUACUCAGAACCUUUCAAUCAUGGUAGAAUGAGGUCUCUGAUUUGGGUCCUGGUUAAUUUAGAAAUGGCUUCCCUCCCUGGGGACAUUCAUUGCUGCUGAGGCCAGCUGGUGAUGGGCGUGAAUUUGAACACUGCAAAGCUGGGAAUGUGAGUAAGAGCUUGUUAAUUCCCAGUUUAAAAUAGCCUGUGGGGCCUGGGGCCUUGCCCACUGCUAUUUUCUCCAGGGAUUUCAGCACCUGUCCAGCAUCCUCUCCCUGCCCUAAAAGCUACCACCACUGUCCUGAUGGCUGUGGUGUCUACAGGGAGCUGGACUUCAUCAGCACCGAGAGCUGUUGAAGCAUGAAGCCUCAGACUCUAGGAGAGUCCCCUCCUUGACCACAACCUCUGCUGGCCUGGCCCUGCCUCCAGGAAGCCGUGUUCCUAAACCUCAUCACAGUACCCACCAUUGCUUUCCUACAUAUAGAGGAAGAGCUGUUGGGUCUGAACACUGGCUGGGCCCUUCCAGAGCAUCCUGCUCAGAGAUUUUAGCCUAGGAACCCUCACCUUGAGGGAAGUCAGCCCUGAGCGCCCCAUAAGGAAGAACAGACAAGAAGAGAGCUGCUCUGACUGAGGGGUGUGUGUAGACUCCCAACUACUCUUCAUGUCGUAUGUUCUGGUUUUAUAAAUCACAGAAUGGAAGCCUAAACAUGUGGGAUUUUGAAUAAAUUAGGUUCCUAGCCCCAGACUUUUGCUUCUACAGGUAACGCAGAGCCUCAGCCCCCAGCGAAAUCCCUCUUCGCGGGCACCUCCCGCCGAAUAUUCUUGGCAGGCUCCAGAGAGUUUCUCUCAUAAGAUCAUGAAUGAAAUCAUUCAGCUCCCCACGUGGGCCCAGUGUGGUGUCUGUGCCCCAUUCCCCUCUCUCCCUCCCUUGUUGCACUCCUGGGCCCCAUGUAGGUGCUCAUAAGUCCCAAAGGCAUGGCAGCCACCUUUGCUGGGCACGCCUGCCACCCUCUGCAGUACCACUCAGCUUUGGCGAGGGCCCCUGCUAGGAGAUGGGAAGACCCCAAGCUUGACCUCCUCCUUUACACAGUCCAUUCUGUUCAAAGGAUACCAAAGCAAACUAAUGUCCCAGAGUAUCAUUUGUGAAAAUAGCUGUUUGAAUUUGCUCAUAGCUUCUCUCCAAUGACCUGAAUUUUGAGUCAGUAGAAGGCUGGCAUAAGGACCCAUCUGUGUGCCUGAGAACUAAGCUUUGGUCCCGGGCCUGGCUGAUCGUCUGGAUUCCACCCUCCACAAUGAGUUCCCAUCUGCGGGCUCUUCGGUUUCUCCAGCGAAUCAUUUCUUCUGGCAGUUCACCAGAUGCACUGACUCGCAGUGGUGGAUGAGGUAUAGACAGAAGCUGGGUUAUCUCCUCUGGUCCCAUCGCUGGACUCCUCUCUACUCACCCCUGCCCCUAAACACACAGUAGAAAAAAAAAUUGUAAAUAAUUUAAAUCAGAAUUGCUCUUUACCAAAAUGACAGAUCAGGGUAUUUUGAGAGAAGACAAGUUUCUAAAAGCGAAAAUUAAGUUUAUCUUCACUAUGCGUCAAGGAGAACUGAUACUGGAACAAUCAAUUUAGAAUUUUGAUCAAGCAAACCAAUUAUAUUGCAUGAUCUGAAGAGAGCACAAUGAUAUAGCUACUCAUUGGGAAAUGUGGGGAAUUUAUACACACACACAUCCCUAAACCAGAGAGGAAAAGAGGGCACCUUUCCCAUUCCCAUUUCCUCCCUUUGGGAUUGGUUUAACGCUUUGCUACAUGUGAAAUAACAAAAAUUAUACAUUGGUCUCUGCCUGUCAUUCCUGACACAGGGUUCGUAAAAACCUUGUAAAUUCCUAAGUGAUAAGAGCACUGGGAGCAUCUUUUGUUCUUGUCAGGCGACUCAAAGUGGCCUCCCUGAUGGAUCCUGAAUGGGGGCUGGUCACCAGAAAGACCAAGCCAUGGCUAGAAGUUUGCCAUUUCCAGCCCCACCCCGCCUCCUCUAGAGAGGGGAGAGGGGCUGGAGAUGGACUUAAUUGAUCAUGACUGGGUCAUGAAGCCUCCAUAAAAUCCGGAAAGUAUAGGGUUCGAGGAGCUUCCAGGUGGGUGAACACAUCCAUGUACCGGGAGGGUGGCCUACCCCAACUCCACGGGAACAGAAGCUCCUGUGCUCUGGACCCUCCCAGACCUCGCCCUGUGCAUCUCUUCAUCUGUCUGUUCAUCCGUAUCCUUUAUCAUAGCCUUCCAUAAACUGGUAAAGUGUUUCCCUGACUUCUGUGAGCUGUUCUAGCAAAUUGUUGAAUUCCACAGGGGAGGAGAUCACGGGAACCUCCAAUUUGUAACCAAGACGGACAGAAGUUGUGGGUAAUCUGGGGACCUACUACUCGUGAGUGGCAUCUGAAGUGGGGGUGGGGGCAGUCUUAUGGGACUGAGCCCUUAACCUGUGGGAUCUGAUGCUAACUCCAGGGAGCUAGUGCCAGCAUUGAGUUGAAUGUAGGGCACUCACCUGGUGUCACAGAGAAUUGUGGGAAAACCCCCACAUCUGGUGUCUGAAGUGUUGUGAGUGUGGUAGUCAUGGGAAAAUAAUGGAGAAACCCAGGAGGAGGCCUGGGAGGUUUUCCAACACACACUCCAAGUGUGGUCCACAGACCAGCCACAUCAGCUCGUUAAAAACGCAGGCUCUCAGCCCCCACCACGGAGCUGCUGAACCAGAAUCCGGGUGUUAACAAUGUAGGAGAUGUGUACACACUUUAAAGUUGUGAAGCACCUCUUUAGACAUUAUUAACCACUUACGCAUACAGAAAAUAUGUUUCAGAUCCUUUCAGAGUUCACAUGUGAACGAGGUAGAGGAAGAAAGGAGUCUUGAGGAACUUGGAGAGGAAUAAAGAGAAAAAGUGAUUAGGAGGGAUGCCGGGAAUGCUAGAGGAAGAAAAACUUCUUGCUUCUCAGUUUUGCCAAAGACUGGCUGUGGGCACCAGCCUUUGCAGUUGAAGCCAAGAGGAACACCAUCCAACUGUGUAAUUUCAAACAGGAACUGUGGGGUUUUCUCCAACUCCACUGCUGGGCCGAGAUUCGGGACACCGGCCCAGCAGACCCGGACCCCGGCUCUCCCUUCCUGCCAGAUUACAGUCCCAGAAGGACCGUUUAAGAAAUUGAUCGCUGGCUUGGGAAAGAAGACAUAUUCACUGUUGAUUUUCCCUUGAAUGGAAUCAGUGAACACUCCGCCUCCAGAUUUAUUUCCAGCCGCUGACAACAAUGUUCAAGACAUGUAGGUGGGAGAAGAAAAUCCUAACUUUAGAAGGUAGCAAUGAUACAUCCCAAGUUUCUUUCUGUUUAAACCUGCUUGUGCUGAGGCAGUUAGAUAUCUGCAGAACAGAAGUAGGUAAGUACCUGGCCUUGCAAAAUAAUGCAUCUCACGGGCAAAGACGGGUGGAGGUCAGCAACUAAAACGUGUGAAAACCAGACCCGUCUGUUCUCUGGGCACUUCCACUCCUCAGCAUGCUGUCCUAAUGAUGAGUUUCCCACUGGGAAAGCACCAGAGAAUGGCAUUACAGGAAUGCAGGUGAAACCUGCACAGCCAUGCGCCUUGGCUGUGCCUUCUCUGGCUCACACUUGGUCCAGCCAUGGGAUCAGUCAGGGAUGGGAGUGCAGCCGCGUACACACUCUGUGCUCACACCCUGCUCUGGGGAAAUACCAUCAUCCUGUAUCCUUUUCUUUUCCACUCAGAGAAUCUGUCUUGGUGACCCAGGAAAUCCAGGGCUUGCUACCAGAUGCUGUGCUGUGGACAUGGGGCCUCCGCUUGGCCGAACAGCACAUCAGACAAUACAGAAUUCGAAGUGGAGUCAGGGCGAUGCGGCUCGCUCGCUGCUUUCUGAGCUGCGGGGACAGGCUGCUAUUAAUCACUCCAGGUCCAUCUAUCAGGCUCUUCUCAUUUGGCCACGGCUCAUAGUCACAGAGGCACCGCCAGGGGCCCCUGAUAAAUCAAAUCCAACAGUUCCAUGAUAAGGAUGACACAGGUGAAUGGGGGACAAAAGCGUACAGUCUUAACCAUGUGUCCACACUAUUAAAAAAGUGGAAGAAGGAUAUGUCUGCUGACUGCCAAGUGCCAGAGACUAUUAAUUUCAAUCUCUCUCUCUAAUGCUAUUAAAUCUCCACCACAGCCCUGUGUGGAAAUGAGGAUUAUUCCUGUGUUCAGAUGAGGAUGCUGAAGCUCAGAGAGGUUAGGAAAUGUGCCCAAGGUCACACAGUCAGUGACUAGUGAAGCUAGUAUAGAACUCAGGUCUAAGAGAAUGGCGGAAAUAACCAGAACAGAGAGGCAGAUAAAUAGUAGAGAAUUGAGUGAGGGGGCUUAGAGAAGAUGAAAAGAGAAAGAGGGAAAAAACAGAACAAGAGGAAAAGGCCAGGGGCAGAAAGCAAACUGCCCUCAUUACCCGGGUUCCUGUGCUGGGGUCCCAGCUUGGCCACUUCCAGGCUGGUGACUUGGUACAAAUCUUAUAACCACAGUUUCUGAAUCUGUCAAAUGAGCUUAGUGAUAUCCAGCCAACUGCUUUACUGGUUUGUUAAGAAUCUGUGUGGAAAGUUCUGCAAAAUUGGAAGUGCUGUACAAAUGGAAGCUACUCAAAUGGUGUUUAGAGGAUGGGCGCGAAUCAAAAGGCCAGGCCUCCAGCAUCAAGUGAAAGAGAAAGUCUACCAUAUAAUGAACAGAACUGCGAGGAGCCCUGGCUUCGGAUGUGCAGCCGCCUUGUAGGAGCACCUGCCGGUCUUGCUUCGCAUCGCACCCGCCCCAUGCAGGGAGAGGUGAGCCCACUGCCACCAGGCAUUUGCUGCAGGUGGAGAGGGCAGAGAACUGAGCCUGCUGCUUGUCUUUCCACUGAGGUUUCAGAGCGUGGAAAGCCCUCCCUAAUCCUGCAGGGGAAUCCAGAGUAAUCACCCCUUCCUUCCCGGGCCAGGAGAAUAUCACUGAGUUGCCCAGUGCUUGUGUUUUAUACUUUUAUUAAUGACAGCCUGGUAAGAUGACGAGAACAAAAACAUGGUGAAUUUUUGUGGGGUUGAGGGUGGGGAGGGAGGAGAUCUGGGAGGAAGGAAACAGGAAGUUUGCAAGUCAAUUCCAAGUAAGGGAUUAACACGACAGGAGUACUGAAGAAACUUUGUUGUGAAAUGAAGUCCGGAAAGAUGAAACCAGAGGUGAAUAAGUUCAUUGGGGAAGCUUCUCUUGUGUUUUUGUGCAGGGCAGAGGGCCAGAAAGGAGAAGGACUCAUAUGAGCAGUUCCUUUGAGGCGAGGACCAUACAGGCAUUUUUGACUCGGAGGCCAGGGAGCUCCCCGGAGUGUUAUCUGGGCUGAGCUGGAAACAAGGCCUGGCGGAGUCUAUUAAUGUUGCCCGACUAAAGAUGAGCACAGGGCUGCAUUUGUAAAUAUCCACUGUUCAGGAUGUGCCUGGAGAUUUCCGAUUUUCUUCAGUAGCACUGCCCGAAAGGUAUUGCAGGAAGAUGCCGCCAGAUGAAGGAGAAAGGCCUACAUCCAAAGAUGUGCUCCUGAGAGGAGGACACAGGAAGCUCCUUUUUGCUUUUUCCGUCCUCCCUUGGGAGGGAGGUGUAGUGAGCUGGAUGGUAUCCCCUAAGAUAUUACUGCAUCCCAACCCCCGGACCUGUGCCCAUUACCUUGUUGGGGAAAAGGGUCUUUGCAGAUUUGAUGAAGUGAAGCAUCUUGAGACGAGGAGAUCAUUCUGGAUUAUCUGGGUAGGCCCUAAAUGCCAUCACAAGUAGUCUUGAAAGAGUGAAGCAGAGGGCGAUUAAACAGACACACGGAGGAGAAGGUGAUGAGAUAGAGUAACGGGACUUCAAGCGAAGGAAGGAACGCCUGGAGCUCCCAGAAGCUGGAAGAGGCAAGGAAGGAUUCUGCCUAGAGCUUCUGGCGGGAGCGUGGCCCUGCCGACACCUUGACUUCACGCUUCUGGCCUCCAGCACGGUGAGAGAACACACUUCUAUUGUUUUCAGUCCCUACAUUUGUGGUAGUUUAUCAUGGCAGCCAUUGGAAACUAAAACACUCUGUAAUGGGAAAAAGUUACCCAGCGGCAGAAACGACCCGGAGUCCUCUGACCUCCCUCUUGGCUCUAGGACUGGGUCUGUUUGCCAGGACCAGGCAGCGGUUCUGUGCCAACCACGUGUGGAGAUUCAGAGGGCAGGAGACCCCCAGUGCAGGCUCUCCACAGAGGUGCACCUGAAAUCAGGGGCCAACCAUGAGAGGUGAGGACCACACUACUGGGGAUGAGAAACAGACACAUAAAACGGGAGCUGUACCUCCAGGAUCUCAUCAGAUCCCCGGCAAGCCUGUGAGCCAGCCCUGAAAGCUCAGAGAGUUGAGCAUGGAAGGAGUGGCUCUGACCUGGUUUGGAAUCCCAGCUUCCCCAUUCAGUGGCCAUGUGACCUCUACCCCUCACCCCAACUCCAGUUUCUUCAUCUAUAAAAUGGGAAUUAUGAAACCUACCUCACAGGCUUGUUGGUGUGAGGUUUAAAGGCAGAGCCCCAGGCUUCCUGAAAGGGCCUGGUAAAGGGCUAUUUCUAUUGUUGCCCAAGAUCACAGAGGUGGUGAGACAGGUCUGCCUGAUGUGCAAGACACGAUCCUUCUGGAGCCGGAGGCUGUGCCAUCACGCAGGGAUCAGACUGUCUACGUGAAGUUGCUCAUUUCAACACCCACACACCACCAGCUCUGUGCCGGAUAUUCCUGCCAUGCUCAGCACCUACGGUCUCUGCUCCCCAAACCACUGGGUUACCAACCUGUCAACCACAUUUCUUAGAUGCCCCGGCCAGCAGGCCUCCACUUCAGUUGCUGCCCAUGGGAGGCCCCUGCAGAAGAGCAGGAGGCAGACAGAGAGAUCCUUUUUCUGGCUUCAGCCCAGGCCCGGGCGGCAGCUGUCCAACACCAGCUCCUGCGGGGCAGCCGCAGUGGGAUCCUGCAGGGCCGCGCUGCUCCCUGCCGCCUUCGGCUUCAGAAGCUGCUGCUCAGCCUGCGGGCUCAGAGGCCAGUAGGUUCCUCCGGGAUUGAGGGGCAGGGCGUGACUUCUUGGUGGUACCACUCCUCCCAUCCCCAUUUUUGCUCCUUCCCUUCCAACAACGUGGAAGCUUCACUCCCCAUGUGAAAUCUCUCUUCGUUUGAAAUACCUGCAGUGACCUCCGUUUUCCUGACUGAAUCCAUGACCAGUACAUCAGUCCUCUGCAGAGGCAUGGGGCUCAAAGCGUAGAGAUCUUAGGGGCCCCAGAAGGCCACCUUCACAGGAAAUACAACCUUACAUUUUCAAUUAGAGAUAAGCCUUAGGAUAAAAGUAUGCCAGGGAAAGCUAUCAUAUUGGCUCCAGUACCUACAGGGGGUCAUUGAUUGCAUCAGAGUCUGUCUUUAGAGAAGGUUUUGUAAAUAGGGCAGAGAAAGAAGAGAGCAGAAAGCAGGAAGGCAGAGAGAGGCGGCUGGGAUGAGAGACAGGAAAAGAGACAGAAUCCCACAGAGAGAGGACACAGUAUCCGUGGGGGAAAGUACAGGCUUGCCCAGCAGCCCUGACUGUAACUUCACUUUUUUUUUUCAUUUUUUUUAAGUUGUGGUCAAAUACACAUAAUACAGAAUGUAUGAUUUUAAUCAUUUUUAAGCAUACAGGUUAGUGGCAUUAAGUACACUCACAUCGUUGUGCAACCGUCGCCACCAUCCAUCUCCACAGCUGUGACAUCUCUCCAGACUGAGACUCUGUACCCAUCACACACAAACUCCCCCUGCCCCUCCUCCAGCCCCUGCCGCCACCACUCUACUUCCCAUCCCUAGGAAUCUGGACACUCCAGGGACCUCAUCCAGAGGCGAUCAGUUCACCCUUUCAUUUAACAUAGUUUAUCCAAAGGAGGACAGUGUGUCUUCUAUCUCAAAGGACUCUCUGUUGGCAGCCCGAGCGCCGUAGCAAAGAAGGACCUCGUCUGUGAGUAAACUGCAGCCAUCCGUUCUCCUGGAGUUAGAAAGAUACAGCACCAGCGACCCGAUGGGCGGACAGUCUUUCUCAGCCACAGGGCAAUUCCAAGGAUGCGUCUGGGGACUGGCCUGGGCCUUCCCAAGCUGCAAUCGUCUGAGCCUGGGCACGUGGGGCACCAGAGGCACGAGAACAGGGGAGGGGACUAGGAGCCAGUUUAUUUGAGGAACUGAGUCAUUCCCCCCAGGAGGACCUUCCCCAAAAGAAAACAGAGUGUGAGUCACCAGACUGAUGACAAAGAGUCCUUAGCAUCAGGACGGGAGGGGAACUUCCAGAAUCAGCACAGGCAGCGUCUGACUUCUGACGGGUUCUUCCCCAGCCCAGACCUGCACUGACUUCUACCUGGGUCCCAGAGAGAGGAUGUGGUAAGACCUGAAAGAGCAGUUUCUGCCGAAAGCUCUGUGGGACCCCUGGCCUGAGCUGUAUCCAGUUGGGUCCUCCUGCCAGAGUGUGACACUGUCCCGGGCCUCUUCCCCCCCACCAUGCAGGGCUGCCUGGGGCCCAGCGAGUAAAAGAAAGAUAGAUCUAACCGGGCUCACUCAUGAGUGGAUGCAGGGGAUCCCCUGGGAACUCCCAGAAAGGCUUGAGGGGAACCACACUGGGCCGCAGUGCCUGCCUGCCUUCAGGGCUAGAAAUAACACUGCAAACGCACAGACUCUAAGUCUUCGAUGGAAGUUGAUUUUUUAGGCAGAAAAAGACCUGCCUGUGCUCCCACUCAGACCUUGGAAGGGGUCUGACAGCUGGGAGUUGGGAUUGCCCUAGGUAUGGCCAGGGUGGCUUUUGCCAGGGGCUAAAUUUGGGACCAAAGGAACAGUAUGAUCCACACCAGGGAUGGGAGUCUUCACGAGGCUAAAACACAGAGAUUGGAAUGUUUUUGCCUUUUUUUUUUAAAGUGCGACUCUGUCGGAAUUAAAAUUUUUUUCUUACCCCUUGUGUGAGGGUUAAGUUGCAAAGUGAGAGCAACUAUGACGUUACGUGAGAGAAGGAGAAAGUGGGCUCAGGGGAGCAACUGGCCAUGGGCUCUGCACAACUGAGACUCUACUCUGGUCCCAGCUGCCAGUGGACCCCAGCCCUGGGAUUCCUGACCUUGGUGUUCUGCAUAAACACGGGCAGGGGAGCUAACAGGUGGGGCUCUACUUCUCGCCUCCAAGAUGCCUUCACCUGCCUCCGGGGUCCUCACAUGCUGCUCAUGGAAUAAGCUGGUUUUCCUUCCACCAUAGGUAAAGGGGGGCUUGAGUGCUCCCAGAACCUGUCCAUCUGGGGGUGUAAACAACCAAUGGCUCCCUACUGGGGGUUGGAAAGGUUGGUGAAAGGAGGAGGUGUAACACUCAGGAGCAGAGUGGGGUCAGCCAGUUCAAACGCCAACUUCACUCCCCAAUUUCCGCAGAUCUUGGACAAAUUAUCCAACCCAUGCAGUGGAUCUCAACCGUGACUGUACAGAAACUCACCUGAGGAAACUUUAAAAAUCCCAAUGCCGAGGUAUCAUGCCAGAGGAGCCAAAUCAGAAUCUGGGGGGUGGGAGCCGGGAUCAGUAUGUUAUUAAAGUUCUCCUGGUGCUUUCUAUGCCCAGCCACUGUUAAGAGCCAUUAGUUCUCAGGCUCCACCCCCAGGGAACUGAAACAACCUCCAUGGGGCCACGUUUUACAAAAACUUCUGAGUGCUUAUCACUGGCAGUUGGGGCUGACAGCGAGACUCUCUCCUUGGGAAUGAGGCGAGCGUGCUACACGCAUCAGGCAGUGGUCAGGAUUAAGGGAGAUAACAUGUAAGGCACUAAGUUACUUCUUGGUUCUCAAUAGGCAUUUAAUAAAUGGUCGGUAUUAUUAUUUUAAAAAUUAUUAUUAUUGUUGCUGUGAUUAUUAGAAACCACAAGGGGAGAAGAGGAUGAAGGAAGGAGACCAGAGGUCAUAAAUACAAACUUGGAGGCAUUCUAGGGUGGCCAAACCUAACUCCACCGACUUUUGAGUUAAGCUUAGAACGCUAGAACCCUGACUUGGCCGCUUGUCUAGAAACGUCUCAAAUUCCAAUUCCACGGCCAAUCCCUGAUCGUUAAUCAGAGCUUCCACCCUUAUUCUGCCACGGUGGCGUGGUUCCAGAAGUGGAGGUCCCGGGAGGAAGCAGCUGCCUGGGUGUGGUCUGGAAGAAGAAAGGGAAGUUUGAAAAGAGGCUCCAGACUGUCCACUCUUUAGCUUUGCCGAUAUCCCUCCGCACUAGCCGCUGGGUACCGCAGUGGACUUGAGUGAGAGGAGACACUUCAUCAGUAAAAGGCCGAGGUGCCUAGGCAGGCCCUGCCUAGUGCUGUCAGUGACCCCUGGAUGGGAGCUGUAAAAGGACAAGAGGACAGCUGUCGCCUGGGAGAUGCUGGGUCCACAGGGACCUUCUUCCUCCACCAGGGAAAGCAGUUCAGCUCUGGAUGUCCCUUCCUGUCCCUUGGCAGCGUGCCGUGUGUCUCAAUGUCUGCUCCUUGAAAUCAGACAGAGCUCUCAGCUACCGGCUAGUGUUUGCUUGGAACACACACAUAACUUCUCUGAACCGCAGGUACCUCAUCCAAAAAUUGGGCCGGUAAUACUUACUUUGAAAUUGGCUUCGUGAAUGAGAGACAACUUCCACAACUGAAUUGAAGUCAAUGAAAUGAGGCAGCGCAGCAGCCAGCCCGGGGAAGAAACUCCCAGAGCACUGACCUCCUCUCGGACAGGACCUUCUUCAACAGACCAGCCUCCUUGUUUCGACCCCAGGAGUCUCCACGGGGGAGCAAUGAAGUGCAGUUGGCUCAGUUAGAAGAAACUCUUAAGGAAGGAACUGAUAUGUCCUGCGCUAUCUGUUGGGCCCCUAUAAACACAGCCUUUCUACAGUGAAGACACCAAGUGUGGUCUCAAGGCCCUGGUUCAUUAGCGAUGUGGGCUCCAAUUGCAGCCAGGGAGUCAAAAGCUGCUGCCGUCUGAAAGGCCCAUCACAAGUACCAAUGCCAGCCCCGCCCUGGCAGGAGGCGCUCCCUUUAACGACUGCUCACUAGGUGAUUACCAGGAAUUAAUUCAGGAGGGAAGAUAAUCAAUAGAUGGCCCACUGAAAGUGGUCCAUUAAGGCAGAACGGCUCUUCUCUUCACGUGUGACGAAUGGUGCCUUUAAAGUAUUCAAUACCAUAAUAAAGGUUGUAAUUAAGUGAGGCAACUUGGCAUCUUUAUAACUGCAUGCUUGGAAAGAUUUAAACUUCAGAUUGAGACACAGGGUAACAUUCAUAAUCCCUCAAAUGGGUUUCCUUUCUAGAAGAGAGAAAAUAAUGUCUGACUCUUCUGAGAAGCUGACGGGGCAGAUCUGUCUCCAGAUCUUUCCAGAGUUAAAAGUAAGAGGUGACUUUGAGCACCUCCUCUUUGGUUCUCAGGCUUUCCUGGCUGGCUUAAUUAUUACCAUCCUCCUAGUGGGAAGAAGGCAGGAGGGGAGAGGCCCGGGGGAAGCAGUGCUGGUCUGGCAGCCUCAGCAGUAUGCAAAUCCCUGGGCCACACACAAAUGACUUCACGGAAGUACAGUCAGGCUUCCCAGACCAACUCAUCUCUAUUUCUGUUGCUUAUUAUUAAAAGACAAGCACUUAUGCCAUCACGUGUCCUUUUGCCUUCCCUCAUCUGUUCCGGAGUUUGCACAUGCAGACCGCAUACACUUCCAAUUAAAAUCCAAUUUUUUCCUUCCUCUGUAGGUUUGAGUAAAAUUUUUUUAAAUGCAAAUUUCAGAUACAUAUUAUAAUUACAAGUCUUCUAUUUGGCAGUUUGCAAAACGGAUGCACUUUGUAAAUUAUCAUCCCAUCCAGGAGAUACACAUCAACCUCUGGACAUUUGCAAAUGGCUGCAGACAUUGUCAAAUAUCCCCCAAGGCUUAGGGCUGUGAGUCUGUGAAGAGAUUCAGCAAAAGAAAGAAGGAAGAUGCUUUCGUUCUCACACUUAUUUGUUUGGCUGCACACUGCCUUUGAUCACAAUCUGUGGAGAGUGUUUAUGGAAAAAUCAUGUAUGAAUCAGAUAGUGUCGUCCUGGGAGACUCUGAAGCCCGGUGGACAAAGAGUGAGCCUGUCAGAGUCCAACCGCGCUCGCUCUCUGCCACCCGCCCCUCAAUCCCAGGGUGCCCCCAUCGCGGUCAUUCCAAAUUCUGAGUAUUUAGCCAUCUCUAGUAGAGAUCAUAGAUUUCAAGAGUGAAACAAAAUGCUUGCGGAGCCCAUAAGGGAAGCUUUUAAACUUAAAACUUAUUAAAGUUGAACUUGGUGUUAGGUGAAAAUAUCUUGCUUUGUGUGCUGGGGGAAGGACAUGAAUGUUUGUAGGGGACACAGUUCUCUUCUGACUGUUGGACAAACAGUGCUGUCCCAAGAUGCAGAGGGGAGAGGAGCCUUCUCGGGCCUUCUCCGGGCUUCUCCCUCUCCUCCGAGUUGAGCCUGGAAGAAGUUAGUUUAAGCGUGCCUACCAGCUGCAAACACAGCCACCGAGGCGGUCAGAGUAAGUCCUGCACUUAUGUAAGGCUCAGAUGCUGUACUUUCAGAUAAAAUGUAGGGACUGACGAGCGUAUGCAGGACAUUUAGCUGUUUAGAGUUCAAAGAAAACAAAAGUGAUGCUUCUGGCAGGGCUGCCUUUGUGCAAAGCGUUGAAAACUGCUCCUCUGGAUCACGGCUUGGUCUAACCACCGCCCACAAGGCUGCCCUUUCCUCCUCUGGACAAAACCCCAUGCCGGGAAGGGCUCGCUGCUGGUGAGGGGAACUUGGGCGGGGUUGCAGGCCCCAUUUGUCCCCUCAGGUGGCUGGGUGCCCUGGUGGUGGCUCUGAGCUGCCAAGUUGCAUUGGGGUUGGAUCUGACUUGCCGAGUUGCGCUGGGAUUGGACUGAGAGUACCCGGCGCCGGGGAGAUGAGGGUGAGAGUGGAGUCAGAGCUGGUCCGGCAGGCUGGGCCAGAGUGGAGAGGGGAGCGGCAGGCACCUAAAUCCCGGGCCCGCCCAGAACUUCAGCAGGUGGAGCCCAGGCAGGCAGAGAGCUGCACCGCUGCCUAUUGCUCUGUCCGCCCAGAGUGUGAAAUCGCCCCUGGGAAGGUUUCAGGGACUGGAUGCGGCAGAUCCUGUAGCUUCAGCUGUCAGAAGAGGUCCCAGACGAAGAUCACAGUUGUCUGAAGGCUUCUACUGCCUUAAAGGUCAGAGCGAAGCUUGCCCAAUCCCACUGUGGUCAGGCUUCCUCACUGCCAUUGCCGAACAGAUGAGAAUCCACACCCCUGGUGCCUUCAUUCAUUUGUUCAACGAAUACUUACUGAGUGCUUGGAAUGUGCUGGGUGCUGUGCUCAGUGCUGCGGAGAUAGUGCUGAGUGAGAAAGAUAUUCACCCUGCACUCCUGGAGUUUAAGGUCUAGCAAGAGAGAUCGACCCUAAAUAAACACUUACAUGAGUAAUGGCACAUUUAGUUGGAUCAUUGGAUUAAGCGCAAUGCCAUUGUCCUUCGAGGGCUUGGCCAGGCACGGGGGCUCUUGACAAGCUUUCUAAAGGAACUCAGGCUUAAUUUGGAGAAGUGCAGACGCGCCAUGUAGAGUCAGAAGGACUUGGAAGGCCAUCUGGUCGCCCUGCCCCUAGUGCACAGAUGAGUGCAUACAGGGUCAUACUGGGUCAAGAGGAAACUCGCCCAUGGUCACGGGGCUUGCUGAGCCCACAAACUGAAUUCGAGAAUGUGUAUCAAACCAUGUACCAGAGUAUGCAAACGUGUACCCUGAUGCACGCUUCAGAAUUCUGCUAGUGGAUAACAAAAGGCAGAGGGUUGGAAAGUCCCAAAUUACAAUGCGUGUGUUUGAUUUUGGAAUAUAUGUGUGCAUAACCUAAGAAUCUGGGUGUGGUUGGAGUCCUGGGAAUUUCCUUCAAACAAAAUGAUGAAAUUACACAACAGUGACCUGACUCACAAGUUGCCAGGAAGCUGUCCAACAGCUCCACCCAGGUCAUUGCUCAACUCUUCUUCUAAGCCCGCGUCUUCCUGGGAAAGUGGAUUUCUUGGUGUCAGAAUGAAAGAAGACUUCUUUGCCCCACCUUUUUCUUGGAGGCACAGAACUCACAUUCAGGCAAAGUAGACAGGAGAGAGUGUUUUAUUUCAAACAAGCUAGAAUCAAACUAAGUUGGAGAAAACUAUUACUAGUAAGUAUCCAGGGUGUUUCCAAAACAAAUAUCUAGCGUACUUUCUGAGGACUCUGCCCCCAUUCAAGAAGUCUGACGUUACCGGAAGGUUUGGGAAUCCCCUAAGGGCUGGUUUGCUGCUGCUGACAGAUAAUUUCAUAAUGCUCCUCCUUCGUGGCUUCCAGAGGCUGCUCAUUAGGCUGAGUAGUUCCGUGAACACAUUAUUUUCAAGAGAUGACUUAAAUUGAGCAUUGGUGGAACUGUUUGAAGAUACUUUUAAUGUAGUGGUUAAAGUUGGAUGACGUUACAAUCCCAGUGAAGCAUCUGCUGGCAGGAAUACUUUAUAUAUUUAAAGUAUUUUAAUUGUUUAGGUCAUAAAAAUUGUGUAUUGAAAUGGUGUGAAUUUGGUUGAUUUCACCUUGCAGUCACCCUCUGGUUCAGUCUAUGAGUCACCCUGAUGCCACAGUUUCACUCCACCAAAGGAGAUUCUACCCCAGAAUAAAAGGAUCCGAAGGAAUAAGUUUCAGAUUUCUUUUUCCUGUGUUCUCUGGAGCCCAGUAGACUGCUCAGGUACUUUGCUGCCACUCAAGGGAGUUACUCAAGAAGCCAACCUCUUCCUGUUUCUUCUGCUCAGUCUCCCAAGGACCAGUUGAGGAUCUAGGGGCUAUGGCAAUAAACUUUUUCAGGAAGGCAGCCUCCCCCUUGGGUGUCAUAUACUCCUUUGUCCAUACCAGUGUUGCUUAAUGGCACCUACCUAGAGUGAAAAGAAUCUUGCAGCGAGGGCAAGGGACACGCAGAUUCCAAUUAGAAAUGUGGAGAUUUUGAAAUGGGCAAAAACGAUUCCUGGGUGUUUUAUCCAGGAGUCAUCUCCAUCAUUCAUUGUUUUUGAGAUCUUUUACAACACUGUAAGUUGUAGAAAACUGAUAAUGAUGCAAAUUAUUCCUAUGCAUAGAAAUGUACAUGAAUUGUGUCUACUUGAAUGCAAUUGAUUAUUGCCCUGUGGAUACUCACCAGUUUUUCAUCUAUUCAUUUUAGCCUUCCUGAUCGCUCAUAUAUAUGUCUGCUCUGGAUUCUCCUUUGAACCACUUGUAACACUGUAUUGGCUUUCUCAUUAAUUACUGAGUUAAAUAAAAUCCCUGACGUGUUCGUUUUAUAUUUGUAUGAGUGUCAAGAUUUACACUAUCUAAAAAUAUUAGCCUUUAAAAUAAAGGUAAGCUGUAUCUCAUA